rnacentral:rRNA from 1 species
GGUUAGUGGUUAAUACCUGCUAGCUGUGACGUUACUGACAGAAUAAGCACCGGCUAACUCCGUGCCAGCAGCCGCGGUAAUACGGAGGGUGCGAGCGUUAAUCGGAAUUACUGGGCGUAAAGCGUACGCAGGCGGUUUGUUAAGCGAGAUGUGAAAGCCCCGGGCUCAACCUGGGAACUGCAUUUCAAACUGGCAAACUAGAGUGUGAUAGAGGGUGGUAGAAUUUCAGGUGUAGCGGUGAAAUGCGUAGAGAUCUGAAGGAAUACCGAUGGCGAAGGCAGCCACCUGGGU